rnacentral:rRNA from 1 species
GACGAACCGAGCAAACGUUAUUCGGAAUCACUGGGCUUAAAGGGCGCGUAGGCGGGCAUCCAAGUCUGUGGUGAAAUCCGGCAGCUCAACUGUCGAACUGCCGUGGAUACUGGGUGUCUCGAGGGAGGUAGGGGCGUGCGGAACUAUUGGUGGAGCGGUGAAAUGCGCUGAUAUCAAUAGGAACUCCGGUGGCGAAGGCGGCACGCUGGACCUCUUCUGACGCUGAGGCGCGAAAGCCAGGGGAGCAAACGGG